rnacentral:lncRNA from 1 species
CGGCGGCGGCGGGCGGCGGGCCCGGGCCGGGGGUGUCGGAUGUCACCCCCCGGCGCACACCUCGGCCGGGGGGCGGGGGAGCGAACCACUGAGAUGCGGAGACCUCCCCAGUCCUAGAGCGGAGCAGGAAGUGUCCCAGGGGAGGGAGCCGGAGGGCUCCGGCCUUUUCUUUCCUCCGCGUCCGGCGGGCUCCGGCGGCGGCCAGGCCUGUGCUGCCCGCGAACGGGGACGCGCCGCGGCGGCGCCUCCAUUUCCUCCCACUUCUUCCCUCCCGGACUGAGCCGCGGCUUUCUGGACGAGCAGGAGACCGGGUCGGGCGAGUAGAAGGAGUCGGGCCCCUGCAGAGAAUCCGCCUCCGGCGCUGGAAGGAUGAGGUGCUGCUGCCUUGGAUUUCCGCCGCAGCAGGAGAGAUUCGAGUCAGAUGCUGGGAGGGAGUUCCAGGCUGUGAGGUGAGAAGCCUGGAGCCGGCGAGGGUGUGGAUUAGUGAUUGUGUGUGUGGGCGCGCACGCACCGGCGCGAGAGGAUGUGUGUAGGUGUGUGAGAGAGAGAGAGAGAGAGAAUGUGAAAGAAUGUGUCUGCUUGAGAAUGGGGGGCAACGCUUUCUCCUUUCACUGGCCUAAAAUGUCCCUUUCCCUUUCUG